UAGGGAAUCUUCGGCAAUGGGGGGAACCCUUACCGAGCAACGCCGCGUGAGUGAAGAAGGUUUUCGGAUCGUAAAGCUCUGUUGUUAAGGAAGAACGAGUGUGAGAAUGGAAAGUUCAUGCUGUGACGGUUCUUAACCAGAAAGGGACGGCUAACUACGUGCCAGCAGCCGCGGUAAUACGUAGGUCCCGAGCGUUGUCCGGAUUUAUUGGGCGUAAAGCGAGCGCAGGCGGUUAGAAAAGUCUGAAGUGAAAGGCAGUGGCUCAACCAUUGUAGGCUUUGGAAACUGUUUAACUUGAGUGCAGAAGGGGAGAGUGGAAUUCCAUGUGUAGCGGUGAAAUGCGUAGAUAUAUGGAGGAACACCGGUGGCGAAAGCGGCUCUCUGGUCUGUAACUGACGCUGAGGCUCGAAAGCGUGGGGAGCGAACAGG
rnacentral:rRNA from 1 species